AUGAUUGCACCAGAUGUAAUG
ensembl:piRNA 21ur-72 ncRNA